AACCUUAUGGACCUGCGGGCGUAUACCUGCGGAGGGAUCAUUACAGAGUUCAUGCCCUCACGGGUAGAUCUCCCACCCUUGAAUACUAUACCUUUGUUGCUUUGGCGGGCCGCUUUGGCUACUGGCUCUGGCUAGUAAGUGCCCGCCAAAGAACCCCAAAACUCUGAAUAUUAGUGUCGUCUGAGUACUAUAUAAUAGUUAAAACUUUUAACAAUGGAUCU
rnacentral:misc_RNA from 1 species